rnacentral:lncRNA from 1 species
CCAUGGGAUGUGGCACCUAAAAGGUAUAUGGGCUUAGAUAAGAGGCCCAACAUUUCCCCAUCACACAAUCAGGAGGUGAGAAAAGGAAAAGGCGGGUGUGAUUAACGAAGGAAGGCCCAUUAAGGAGGAAAGCCCAAUAUGGUCGAAGUCAAAAUUAGGGGAAUGUUGACUUUCCCAUUGCCAUCAGAUCCGUAUAGUAGUCAACAAAGAUCAAAAGGCUUAGAUGGAGGGCACAUGGUUGGGACUCAUGUACAGAAGUCACUGAGUUAAAGUCCAGUCAACUAAAUCAAGGGCCAUGGAGGAUGCCACAUGGCUCAACCUGAGGGGAAGAGGAUUACGCAUAAAAGAGGGGAUCGGUGGUCCCUCUAUCAUAUCCCAAUUCUACUUCUCUCUCUAAGUAACAUGAAGAAAACUUUUUAUCGCCUCUCUCUAGGAUCCAAACCCCUCAAAUUUCCAGAAAAAACGAAAAACAUGAUGAACAUCUCAAGAACAUCUUGAAUGUUCUUGAGGUGAUUUUCCAGAAACCAUUAAAACUACCCAGACCCUCAUACAAUAAAUACAAACCCUAGCUCAAAUUCAACCUUAACCACAAAUCCACCCUAAAAAAAAGUGCAACAAAUUAAGCGGAUCGAAACAAAGAAAAUAGAUCCCUAAGUUUAAAAAUAUGUCUGAUCUACACAUGUUAAGCAUCAAACACUAUAAUUAAUUUAGGGAAAACAUCUAUGGCAUACGCAGAAGUGUAAAAUCAAACAGAAAGCGUGUUAAAUCAUGCAAUAGGUACCAAAUUGGAGCAAACUACUCUGGUGAAGAACUCCAACAAGCUUUAACUUUCAGGUAGCAUGAUCUUAGCCUUUUAGCUCUCCUUUAUUUCACUUCCUUUACUAUUAUGAUUAUAAUUAUUUCUUCUUCUUCUUCUACUACUUUCCUCUGUUGCUACUGUGCAUUCCAUCAAGCUUUGACUGAGGUUGCUUGAAGGAGUUAAGCUCAGCUUAAUUAGAGCUUCAAUGAGAAGCUCUAAUUGCUACAACAAGGAGCUCUAAAUGAAGGUUUUGGAUUUUAAGGUGUUACAAUUUACUUGUUCAUAGUGUGAAGUUUUGUGUAUUAUUUGUAGGUUUUGAAUUCCCCUUUUGUGUGUGAAUUAGAGCUAGCUUAAAUAGGCAUAGAUUAGGGUAUAGUGUGAGUGUGUGAAAAGUAAUUUCAAGUGUGUGAAAAGUGAUGAAAAUGAGUGAGAAUUUGUGUGAAUUGGAAGAUUUUUUGUGUGAGAGUGUGAUUUUGUUACGAAUCAUGUGAGGAGUAAAAAAAUUGGGAGGGAAAUGUAAAGAUUUGUUGCGAAUUUUGUGGAGAACGGGGAUGUGCAAACCGUGUGUGGUUUGUUAGUGGUCCAUGUGCAAGUUUUAAUUCUCAAAUUGUAAUGUAAUAAUCUUGAAAUUCAAAUGAAAUUCGAAUUAUUAAUUUCAAAUUCUCAUGUUUUUUGUAAUUUGAAUUGAACAUGUUGAAAAGUGCAUGGUUCAAUCUUGUUCAUGUGCAAAAAUCGUGUGGUGAUGUAACAAAUUAAAUGAGGUGAAAUUAAAAUAUUUAUUCAUAUUCAAA